rnacentral:rRNA from 1 species
AGAGUUUGAUCCUGGCUCAGGAUGAACGCUAGCGGGAGGCUUAACACAUGCAAGUCGGACGGUACCGGGCCCUUCGGGGUGCCGGCGAGUGGCGGACGGGUGCGUAACGCGUAUGCAACCUACCUUAAGCAGGGGGAUAGCCCAUGGAAACGUGGAUUAAUACCCCAUAAUAUCAAUAUAUCGCAUGAUAAAUUGAUUAAAAUUUCGGUGGCAUAAGAUGGGCAUGCGUAGGAUUAGUUAGUUGGUAAGGUAACGGCUUACCAAGGCAUCGAUCCUUAGGGGUUCUGAGAGGAUUACCCCCCACACUGGGACUGAGACACGGCCCAGACUCCUACGGGAGGCAGCAGUGAGGAAUAUUGGUCAAUGGGCGGAAGCCUGAACCAGCCAUCCCGCGUGCAGGAAGACGGCCCUACGGGUUGUAAACUGCUUUUCUAUGCCAAGAAACGUUCCUACGAGUAGGGAUUUGCCGGUAGCAUAGGAAUAAGCAUCGGCUAACUCCGUGCCAGCAGCCGCGGUAAUACGGAGGAUGCAAGCGUUAUCCGGAUUCAUUGGGUUUAAAGGGUGCGCAGGCGGGUUUUUAAGUCAGUGGUGAAAUACUGCCGCUUAACGGUAGAAUUGCCAUUGAUACUGAAGAUCUUGAGUAUGGAUGAGGUAGGCGGAAUGUGUUGUGUAGCGGUGAAAUGCAUAGAUAUGACACAGAACACCGAUUGCGGAGGCAGCUUACUAAGCCAUCACUGACGCUGAGGCACGAAAGCGUGGGUAGCGAACAGGAUUAGAUACCCUGGUAGUCCACGCUGUAAACGAUGUUCACUCGCUGUUUGCGAUAUACCGUAAGCGGCUUAGCGAAAGCAUUAAGUGAACCACCUGGGGAGUACGAUCGCAAGGUUGAAACUCAAAGGAAUUGACGGGGGCCCGCACAAGCGGAGGAACAUGUGGUUUAGCUCUUUGCAAGGUGCUGCAUGGUUGUCGUCAGCUCGUGCCGUGAGGUGUCGGGUUAAGUCCCAUAACGAGCGCAACCCUUACCGUUAGUUGCCAUCAGGUCAAGCUGGGGACUCUAGCGGGACUGCCACCGUAAGGUGAGAGGAAGGUGGGGAUGACGUCAAAUCAGCACGGCCCUUAUGUCCAGGGCUACACACGUGUUACAAU